CCAGUGGCAUAGCAGGGUAGCUAAGUUCGGAAGGGAUAAACGCUGAAAGCAUCUAAGCGUGAAGCCCCUCCCAAGAUGAGGAUUCUCUGGGGACUUGAUCCCCCUGAAGGGCCGUUGAAGACUACGACGUUGAUAGGCUGGAUGUGGAAGUACGGUAACGUAUGAAGCUAACCAGUACUAAUUGCCCGUGAGACUUGAUUCUAUAACCUUA
rnacentral:rRNA from 1 species